GCGGACGGGUGAGUAACGCGUGAGAAUCUGCCUUCAGGUUGGGGACAACCACUGGAAACGGUGGCUAAUACCGAAUAAGCCAAACGGUGAGAGAUUUAUUGCCUGAAGAUGAGCUCGCGUCUGAUUAGCUAGUUGGUAGGGUAAUGGCCUACCAAGGCGUCGAUCAGUAACUGGUCUGAGAGGAUGACCAGUCACACUGGGACUGAGACACGGCCCAGACUCCUACGGGAGGCAGCAGUGGGGAAUUUUCCGCAAUGGGCGAAAGCCUGACGGAGCAAUACCGCGUGAGGGAGGAAGGCUCUUGGGUCGUAAACCUCUUUUCUCAGGGAAGAACACAAUGACGGUACCUGAGGAAUCAGCAUCGGCUAACUCCGUGCCAGCAGCCGCGGUAAUACGGAGGAUGCAAGCGUUAUCCGGAAUGAUUGGGCGUAAAGCGUCCGCAGGUGGCAGUGCAAGUCUGCUGUCAAAGGUCAGGGCUUAACCCUGAACAGGCGGUGGAAACUGCACAGCUAGAGUGCGGUGGGGGCAGAGGGAAUUCCUGGUGUAGCGGUGAAAUGCGUAGAGAUCAGGAAGAACACCGGUGGCGAAAGCGCUCUGCUAGGCCGCAACUGACACUCAUGGACGAAAGCUAGGGGAGCGAAUGGGAUUAGAUACCCCAGUAGUCCUAGCCGUAAACGAUGGAUACUAGGCGUAGCUCGUAUCGACCCGAGCUGUGCCGUAGCUAACGCGUUAAGUAUCCCGCCUGGGGAG
rnacentral:rRNA from 1 species